AAGUCGUAACAAGGUUUCCGUAGGUGAACCUGCGGAAGGAUCAUUAACACGUAUCCAAACGUUAACCCCCCUGUGAACCUUCAAUGUGCUCGUACACUUUGUCAAAGCGAGGCAAUCCCUGGUAAAUCAUCACUUCCUCAAAGAGUGUGCAUGUUGCGCGAGGCAAGUGGCCUGGCAUUCCCAAGCAGUUAAUGUCUGAAAGUGUUGGAGUAACGAUCGUUGGAGGCCGACACGGCCGACGACCGGGUCACCGGGCGCAAGCCCCUUUAUCACCACUUAAUGCAUGACAGACGCGCCAGCGCUUAAUUGUGCGGCCACCAAAAAGAACAACUGUUAACAAUGGAUAUCUUGGUUCUC
rnacentral:misc_RNA from 1 species